rnacentral:misc_RNA from 1 species
GAUGAAGAACGUAGCGAAAUGCGAUAAGUAAUGUGAAUUGCAGAAUUCGGUGAAUCAUCGAAUCUUUGAACGCACAUUGCGCCCGUCAGUAUUCUGGCGGGCAUGCCUGUUCGAGCGUCAUUACGCCCCUCAAGUCCCCUGUGGACUUGGUGUUGGGGAUCGGCGAGGCUGGUUUUCCAGCACAGCCGUCCCUUAAAUUAAUUGGCGGUCUCGCCGUGGCCCUCCUCUGCGCAGUAGUAAAACACUCGCAACAGGAGCCCGGCGCGGUCCACUGCCGUAAAACCCCCCAACUUUUUAUAGUUGACCUCGAAUCAGGUAGGACUACCCGCUGAACUUAAGCAUAUCAAUAAGCGGAGGA